rnacentral:rRNA from 1 species
UGGGGAAUAUUGCACAAUGGGGGAAACCCUGAUGCAGCGACGCCGCGUGAGCGAAGAAGGUUUUCGAAUCGUAAAGCUCUGUCCUAUGGGAAGAUAAUGACGGUACCAUAGGAGGAAGCCCCGGCUAACUACGUGCCAGCAGCCGCGGUAAUACGUAGGGGGCAAGCGUUGUCCGGAAUCACUGGGCGUAAAGGGUUCGCAGGCGGAAAUGCAAGUCAGUUGUGAAAGGCAGAGGCUCAACCUCUGUAAGCAAUUGAAACUGUAUUUCUUGAGAUGUGGAGAGGCAAGUGGAAUUCCUAGUGUAGCGGUGAAAUGCGUAGAUAUUAGGAAGAAUACCGGUGGCGAAGGCGACUUGCUGGACACAAACUGACGCUGAGGAACGAAAGCGUGGGUAGCAGACAGG